rnacentral:tRNA from 1 species
UUUUAAUAGCUUAUAGUUAGAGCAUAAUAUUGAAGAUAUUAAGGAGAAAAAUUUUCUUAAAAUAUU